rnacentral:tRNA from 1 species
GGGAAUGUAGUUCAAUUGAUAUAGCAUUUGCCCAGGAUGUAGAAAGCUCUGGGUUCAAUCCCCAGCAUUGCCC